CAGCACCACAGAGACGCUGGCCCGGGCCCAAGCAGCCAAGCCCAGGUGAGAGGUGGUGGGGUCCAGGGUGGCCUUUGUCCCCAUUGUGAUUCCCAAGUACAAAGGCCAGGUGAAAGGCCACUAAAAUUUGGAAAAGGGGUGUGGGAGAGCUCGUGGCCUACGUUAUGGGUCUAACGCCCAGCUCUGCUCAUCCAUUGUCCUAAUGCUCUGCCAACUUCUCCAGCCCACAGGCACCCGUCCAACCUUUUGACCUUCUCAAGGCUCAAGAUGUGGAAAUGCGGCCUUGGGAGAUGCAUUCCUCCAUGGGUCCUUGGCUGGUGAGAGGCAGAGCUGGUGAGCCUAGGGAGUCUGUUCUCCAGUGCUUCCGAGCACCAACAGUGAGCCAGGGAAGGUAAGGUCCCUAAGGAAAGGAGCAUGUUUUGUUCCGCUUUGUUUUGUGAUUCCGUUGCCCAGAACAGUACCUGGCACUUCGAUUUGUUGAAUGAAUGAGCGACUGAACAGCCACGCCAUCCUUGACUUGUGGUCUACGGAAUCGUCCAAACGCUUUUCCCACGCUCUGUCAACUGACCUUCUGCGUUUGUGUCGUUGGUUCGGGGAACCUGAUUCCAGAUCUCGACAGCUUAUACCAUUCAAUUCCAGUUUGCUGCACUCUAGACCGCGUGGUCCUAAUUCUGGUUCUAGUCAUCUGAGAAUCCGAGGAGCAUCGUUUUUAGAGCUUUCUCCGAGUCACCGUUAAAAAG
rnacentral:lncRNA from 1 species